UGCCUAGACACAGCAGCUCCAAUAACAUCUGGACGCUCAUGGUGAGAUAUAUUAAUUAUUCUUAUAAUGGUCAUCUGAAUUUGCAGAGACAAUUAGAUUUUGGAAGCAGGAAUCCUUUCCUCAUAAGAUGGAUGAGCUGUAGGAUUUGAUUCUGUUCAGCUUGAAUUAGUUUUUCAUCAUCAUGUUCUAUGUAUUAGGAAUUCAUGCCUUACAGCUCUAAUUUUUUCGCAUUGUUGGUGUAUGCUGGGAGUCACAUUGUUAUGCAUGCUAGCAAACAGUAGGAUUGAAAGUCUUACCCUGUUGGUUAUUAAUAUCUUUUCCACUAUAGUGAGGUUCAGCAAUUUAAUUCGUAUUAAGGUCACACAAACAGUUUGGUUUUCAGAUUUGUCUUGACAAACAUAUUUGGUUCAACAAUUUAAUUCGUAUUAAAGUCACACAAGCAGUUUGAUUUUUAGAUUUGUCUUGACAAACAUAUUUUUGCAGAUUAUCCUUACAUAAGCAAUUGAUUUCUGCAAGUUCCUUUCACUUCUUAUUUAUUUCUUCACUUGGUUAUGAUGUACUGCUAUUCGUUUUCAUGAUGAUUCAUGCAUUUUGUAGUUUUCACUCACAGAAUGUUCUCUCUAAACAAGAUUGGUUCCCAUUCUUACAGUGAAGUAGCUACUGAGCAGUGAGGCCAUCGAGCGACACCAGACCGCGGGACAGCGUGAGAAGAGGCAGGGGGUGUCUGGCGGGAUGGGGAAGACCACGAGGAAGUGUGGCGAUGGAGUGCAAUCCCGAAGAAGAAGAACAUUGCAAAGAAAGACCCUAGCCAAGCGCCACCCAAUUCUCUUUCAUUGACCUAUCUAAUGGCCAUCAAUUCAAUUGGUCCAAGCUGCUGCGUUUGACCUUCCCACUGACCCACUACAUCCUCGCUCAGCUGCUUCUGCUAUGUUUCUUCUCCAUGGCAUUGUCGGCUGCCAGUGUGCCUGACAUCAUGCCUAUGUGACCUCAUAUCAUGCUCCUCUACGUGUUCUUCUCACCCUGGUUCCAUGAGGAGAGAUGUUGUUCUGUGGUUCUGUAGCUCUACUCCAUAGCAAUGAUGGAGUCGCCUCCAGAUGGGAUAGCAAUUAUCUCGGGAUCAUGGUGAGGUUACUGAGUCGACCCUUCAUUUGGCUCUAUUCGUGUGGAUCUAUUCAUGUGCAUCUGUAAACUGUAUUUAGGUACAACUAUUGUUCUAGCACUUGUGUUUAUUAUUUUUGUAAAAAAAAGAUUUCUUGAUCUCAUUAAAUUGGGGUUUUAUGUUGACAUGAAAUUCUAACUGAAUUUGCUAUUUACCUGACAAUUCCAACAAUUUUUUGUAUUGUAUUUGCAUGUACGGAGCUGCCUAAGCAACGGCCAGGGGGCAUAUGCUUCUCCUACCACUAACAUCUUCAUCCUAUUUGAGCCAGAAUAGCUUUGGUGCCCUCUCUCGCUCAUGGUGAGGCCGUGCACGCUUGCCAUGGUUGUGGCUACGAAAUCUCAGACUGAGUCGCUUCGGUCGGGCACUAUUCAGAUUAAUGUGGGAAUUUCUAGCAUAUUCCUCUUUUACGGUGACGCCAGAUUUGAAUUUGAAGGCGUACUUGCCCCUGAGCUGGCGGUGCCUGAGAACAACGACGACAAAAUUCUGGCAUCGUCUCCGAGCUCUGUCGCAAGCAACGCAGGAACGCCUCAGGCUCAAAGUCGGGUUGCUGUGCAGGCGAGCGGCAGCAGCCACUUAUGUCUCUUCCAAGAAGGGCGUCACCUUGGAGGAGCAUAACGACACCGGCUGCAGCGGCGCACGAGCCAACAAAGGGACAGGACCAUUGGAGACGACGGACACAGAGGUGCAUGCUAGGCAUGCCGAUCAUCAGACACUAUGGAGCGAUCCCACCCGUGAUGCCGCAGUACACGCAGCCAUCGCCGCCACCGCCACAUGCCAUGAUCUACGGGCAAGUGCCUGCUCAGCAGCGUACAAGAGAGAUCACCGCGGGGCCCUACUCGCCAAGACGAUGCUUCUCUUAUCGUGCUUAUUUACUUGCCUUCUAUGUGUGACGAGAAGGAGCGGGAGAUUCAGAGGCUCAGGUUGGCAUCACUAGGUGAGUUCCCUGCUGAUUUGUCGAGCACGGGAUAUAGACUAUAGUCGGGUUCCUUCCUAACUCUGCUGGGCCUAAUGAAGAGAAAGAAUCAACUUUUGAGAUUAAUUGGCUAGAUCCAAGCAGGCAGCUGCACAACAUCGUCAAGGAGAAGAUGAGAACAAUGCGAUGUUCAAAGAAGCAGGCUCCAGUUUUGGUAAAUGAGUAGUGAUGUUGCAACCACCAAAACAAAUCUGAAAAAUAAGACAAAGACAAACAGGUUGAGAGGUUGGUUAAUGAUAUGGAAGAUCAAGUAAAAAACGAAUUAUUGGAAGCCCCGGCAAGCAAAGUAAAGAAAACCCUACUUAACUUGAUCACAAAGGUUGGAUCGUGCAAGUACAUGUUGUAUAAGUUUACUAGGCUGGGACAGGUCGUACUGGUGGUUGCUGGCAGAAUUCUGAUGUGAUUCACAUGUUCUUUAGUUCAGAAGAUGAAACAAAAACUCUCCAAAGAGGGGAAACAAGCACAGAUAAAGCCUGAAGAGAUAUGCAAUUUGGACUUAUAGGAACUGUCACUUCAUUAUUAUAGUGGAGUUAAAGGAAAUAGGAGGCAUGAAAACAUGGCAAGCGAGGAAAGAUCACUGCUACGCAAGAAAAAAUGCAAGUCCAUGUGAUUUUGCAAUAGGAGAGGCUUAGACUUUCAGGGUUUUUACUUGAAAAAUCGCAUUUGGUACUUCUGAGUAUUUUUUAUACUGUUUUGCUCCAUCAAAAUUCACCA